rnacentral:tRNA from 1 species
ACCUGGCUGACUCAGUCGGUUGAGCGUCUGACUUCUGCUCAGGUCAUGAUCUCACGGUUCAUGGGUUUGAGCUCCGUGUCAGGUU